UGUAUCCCUAUAGGACCAUGGUUGGCAAACUUGAGCUUUCGAGCCACAUGCGGCUCUUUGGCCCCUUGAGUGUGGCUCUUCCUAAGCCUUAGGAGUACCCUAAUUAAG